rnacentral:snRNA from 1 species
GUGCUUGCUUCAGCAGCACAAGUACUAAAAUUGGAAUAAUGCAGAGAUUACCACAGCCUCCGUGCAAGGAUGACACACAAAUUUGUGAAACAUUCCAUAUUUAA